rnacentral:rRNA from 1 species
GAUCCUGGCUCAGGAUGAACGCUAGCUACAGGCUUAACACAUGCAAGUCGAGGGGCAGCAUUUUUAUAGCAAUAUAAAAGAUGGCGACCGGCGCACGGGUGAGUAACACGUAUCCAACCUGCCGAUAACUCGGGGAUAACCCUUCGAAAGAAGGCCUAAUACCCGAUGGCAUAUCCCUUCCGCCUGGUUGGGAUAUUAAAGAACUUCGGUUAUCGAUGGGGAUGUCGUUCCAUUAGCUUGUUGGGCGGGGUAACCGG